UUUUAUGGAGAGUUUGAUCCUGGCUCAGGAUGAACGCUGGCGGCGUGCCUAAUACAUGCAAGUCGAGCGAACGGACGAGAAGCUUGCUUCUCUGAUGUUAGCGGCGGACGGGUGAGUAACACGUGGAUAACCUACCUAUAAGACUGGGAUAACUUCGGGAAACCGGAGCUAAUACCGGAUAAUAUUUUGAACCGCAUGGUUCAAAAGUGAAAGACGGUCUUGCUGUCACUUAUAGAUGGAUCCGCGCUGCAUUAGCUAGUUGGUAAGGUAACGGCUUACCAAGGCAACGAUGCAUAGCCGACCUGAGAGGGUGAUCGGCCACA
rnacentral:rRNA from 1 species